GUAGGUGAACCUGCGGAAGGAUCAUUAUCGAGCGAAUCCAAAACGAACGAAAAAGUCUCCCAACGUGCAUACCUUCCAUUUGCAUGUUGUUGUGAGCCACAUGGAAACUCGUACACACGUGGUGGCAGCCGUCUGCUGUGCUUUUUUUAGGCAGACAAUGGCUUACGAGUGGCCGUGUGCUUGUUGAACAACGGUGACCAAUUUGGCGUCUACGCCGUAUCUAGCUUCUGCCUGGACCGUCAGUUGCGAUGAAAGAUGCGGAGAAAGUUCCUUUGUUUUGGCUGCUAAUCAUCAUUGAUGAGCAGCAGCUUAAGGCAGAGUCGAGCAGACUUAAUGAGCCACGCUAGGUGGCCGCCAAAACCCAAAACACAACCGGUCUAUUUGACAUUGUUAUUUCAUUGUAUGUGUUGAAAAUGUACAAAUCUUGGCGGUGGAUCACUCGGUUCGUGGAUCGAUGAAGAACGCAGCCAGCUGCGAUAAAUAGUGCGAAUUGCAGACACAUUGAGCACUAAGAAUUCGAACGCACAUUGCGCUAUCGGGUUCAUUCCCGAUGGCACGUCUGGCUGAGGGUCGAAUUACGGUGAACUGUCUUCACGGUUUUUCUGGACUGUGAAGCAUUCGGCAAGCAAUUGCUGUUGUGUUGUUGGUGAUUCUAUCAUGGACAAUAUGUCGAGCGGUUCCUUGCUUAGUGAUGACAAAAGAAGACGUCAACACCGAAUCUACUAUACUACUAAUACUAGUAUAUAGGUGAGGUGCUUUUGGUGGUCACAAAAGUGACAAGUAUGCCAUUUCAUAGGGGCAACAACCAGCAUACGUGAUAAGUUGGCUGGUUGAUGAAACGGCAACGGAAUGACGGACGUCUAUGUGAUCAAAAAUGAUACUAUUUGACCUCAGCUCAGUCGUGAUUACCCACUGAAUUUAAGCAUAUAAUUAAGCGGAGGAAAAGAAACUAAC
rnacentral:rRNA from 1 species